rnacentral:rRNA from 1 species
GACGAACGCUGGCGGCGUGCUUAACACAUGCAAGUCGAACGCUGAAGCUUGGAGCGUGCGCUGGGUGGAUGGGCGGCGAACGGGUGAGUAAUACGUGCGUAACCUUCCCUUGACUCUGGGAUAAGCCUGGGGAACUGGGUCUAAUACUGGAGCUGACAUGCCACUGCAGGGUGGUGUGGGGAAAGGGAUUUAGUGGUUUUGGAUGGGCUGACGGCCGAUCAGCUUGUUGGCGGGGUAAUGGCCCACCAAGGCGACGACGGGUAGCCGGCCUGAGAGGGUGACCGCCCACCCUGGGCCUGAGGCACGGACCAGACUCCUACGGGAGGCAGCAGUGGGGAAUAUUGCACAGUGGGCGCGCGCCUGAUGCAGCGACGCCGCGUGAGGGAUGACGGCCUUCGGGUUGUAAACCUCUUUCAGCACGGACGAAGCGAGAGUGACGGUACGUGCAGAAGAAGCGCCGGCUAACUACGUG